GUAUCUUUCUAAAUCUGAAGUGUAGUUCCGUUUUUCACGUUAAAUCUCUUGAUACACCGUACAGAUUUGCAUAAAUAACUUUUAGAAUCAGAAUUAACUCUUUGACUUCUUCAGGCUCUGCGAUGCAUUCUAGAUAGCCCUCUUAAUAAAGCUGGCAUGGUAGGGGCAAUAUAUGUUAAAAUUGAUCAAGGAGGAAUGUUUGAAGUCAAGCCUCAUGUUCAAUUACCUCAAACAUGCAGUCGAUUCUGUGGUGUCAUAAUGGACUUGCUUCAAAAAUCUUUGGUGCGGGCCAAACAUACGAAUGAAGUUCUUCUUCAUGUUGUUGAGGAACCUAUAACGCAUCAUUUGCCUGUCAACUCUUACACAGUAGUUGGGUUAUACUGUUUUAAACUCUUAAAUAUUUUUGGUAUUAUUUUUAUUUUAUCCUGUUGUGGGUUUUGAAUCAAUCAUGGGAUGCAGGUCUCUCCUCUACUUCAGAAAAGUCGGUUGACAUAGAGGAAUAUGUCUCACUUUGGAGCAAUGAUUUGAGUCUUGUCUUUGUGGUAUAUUUUAAUUUUACAACAUGAGUUGAUGUGGUAUGUUGGUUUCAAACAGUACCCAGACAGCUUCUCAUGUGUUUUCAGGUAGGCAAAAUGGUCUAUGGGAAAGUAAAAGGGGACUAUAUGCAUGAUUAUAUUUCAGGUUUAAUUGCUGAAAAAAUUCUUUUUAUUUUUGAAUGUUAGAAACUAGUUUACUUUAUUGUAUUUUGUUUGAAUAUGCUGCUUGGAAUAGAAAUGAAAGAGAAUUUUGGGAUUUCAUUUCAACGUUUAUUCCAGUGUCAGUGAACAAAGAUGGAGAUGUAUACUUGAGCUUGAAUAAUAGCUAAUAUAAAUUUCAAGAAAGAGUCUAGGGUGGAACAAAGAGUGAAACAUAUACUGCUUAUACUACUCUGUAUUAUGUAGUUUGAGUUUAAUUUUUUCAUGAGGAUGUGGACGUAUGGCCCUAUAUGAAUAUCAAGUUGAAGGAAUAGCAAAAUUGUGUCUCUUAUUUACUUUCUUCCUUUUUAUGGCCAUACAUUUUUUAUUUAUUUAAAUUCUUAAAAAAUGAUAUUUAUUUGUAUUUUCUGUUUUGUUUGACAAAAGAGGGGUUGUAGGAUAUUCUUCAAAUAGUACAAUGUCUUGUCGACACUUACGACUCCUGCCUCUUGUAAUAUAUAUAUAUAUAUAUAUAAAACAAGAUUCUGGUAGAAGGGAAUUGAGUGAAUUACCAUGGACCUUAUUUGGUCUAUGUUUUUACUUCAUUUCAGGCCUAAUUGAAUUGGGAGAGGUUCGAUUCAGUUGAAUGAGGCGUUCAAAUAUUUCGUUAGUAGGGAAAUGAUUGCAGUGCAUUUAUCUGUAGCUGGGAUUUGCCCAAGCAUAAGUUGCAUAAGUGCAGUAUAGAAACUGGGUGAAGGUUGAUAAUGAUUCUUGUAAUUAUUUUUGGGUGGUUAUGUGAAUUGGUAUUUACAAACUGGGAUAUAUGACUACCAAUUUUGGUUCUGGUAUCUUGGAGGAUUCAUUCUAUAUUUUAUCUUUUCCUCACUGGUUUCUUCACAAGUGUCGGUCUUCUGUGACUGGUUACAGAUGAAAUACUAUAGCUCAUCCCUCUAUUGAGAAUACUAGACGUCUUUUUUAUGUGAGCGGUUCUCUCAUAUAUGGUAUUUUGAAGAAAUCACGGUUAGAGGACCAUCUCUCUCGCUAUUUGGGCACGAGAAGCAAGAAUUAUGAAAAUUUAGAAUCUGGUAUAUCAAUUUGUGGGAUUCAGCUGUAUGCCGGUUUUCUUUGUGCAGAUAUCAUACUCCUGUUGGAGUGUAUCUAACUUUCUCCUAUUUGUGUAUUUGUUUUUUCAUUUCACCUUUAGAGAUAUUCAUGUAAUUACAUGUGGUGGGGCUGGGCUGGUGAGAUGUUUUGGGAUUACUGCAUUGAAGCAGUAACAGAAACUCAUUGUAAUUAAUUUUAUUUUGCAUUCAUAUAUAAUUUUUUAUUUUACUUUUUUACUAGCA